AUUGAACGCUGGCGGCAUGCUUUACACAUGCAAGUCGAACGGUAACAGGGUGCUUGCACCGCUGACGAGUGGCGAACGGGUGAGUAAUGCGUCGGAACGUGCCGAGUAGUGGGGGAUAACGCAUCGAAAGGUGUGCUAAUACCGCAUACGUACUGAGGUAGAAAGUGGGGGACCUUCGGGCCUCACGCUAUUCGAGCGGCCGACGUCUGAUUAGCUAGUUGGUGAGGUAAAGGCUCACCAAGGCGACGAUCAGUAGCGGGUCUGAGAGGAUGAUCCGCCACACUGGGACUGAGACACGGCCCAGACUCCUACGGGAGGCAGCAGUGGGGAAUUUUGGACAAUGGGCGCAAGCCUGAUCCAACCAUGCCGCGUGUCUGAAGAAGGCCUUCGGGUUGUAAAGGACUUUUGUCCGGGAGCAAAUACCCAGUGCUAAUAACGCUGGGGGCUGAGAGUACCGGAAGAAUAAGCACCGGCUAACUACGUGCCAGCAGCCGCCGUAAAAC
rnacentral:rRNA from 1 species